UUGACGGGACCGCACAAGCGGUGGAUGAUGUGGUUUAAUUCGAUGCAACGCGAAAACCUUACCCACCUUUGACAUGGCAGGAAUCCCGAAGAGAUUUGGGAGUGCUCGAAAGAGAACCUGCACACAGGUGCUGCAUGGCUGUCGUCAGCUCGUGUCGUGAGAUGUUGGGUUAAGUCCCGCAACGAGCGCAACCCUUGCCAUUAGUUGCUACGAAAGGGCACUCUAAUGGGACUGCCGGUGACAAACCGGAGGAAGGUGGGGAUGACGUCAAGUCCUCAUGGCCCUUAUGGGUAGGGCUUCACACGUCAUACAAUGGUCGGUACAGAGGGUUGCCAACCCGCGAGGGGGAGCUAAUCCCACAAAGCCGAUCGUAGUCCGGAUCGCAGUCUGCAACUCGACUGCGUGAAGUCGGAAUCGCUAGUAAUCGUGGAUCAGCAUGUCACGGUGAAUACGUUCCCGGGUCUU
rnacentral:rRNA from 1 species